rnacentral:rRNA from 1 species
UGCGUAGGCGGAUCAAUAAGUCAGUGGUGAAAUCUCUCGGCUCAACCUGGAAACUGCCAUUGAUACUGUUGAUCUUGAGUUCGGUUGAGGUAGGCGGAAUGUGUAAUGUAGCGGUGAAAUGCUUAGAUAUUACACAGAACACCAAUUGCGUAGGCAGCUUACUAGACCGACACUGACGCUGAGGCACGAAAGCGUGGGGAGCGAACAGGAUUAGAUACCCUGGUAGUC